GAUCCAUCACUCUUCACCACGUUCCCUUUCUGGGAGCCUUCCCCCUGUCACCAAUUACUCCACAUCAUACCUCAGUCCAGUCUACUAUGCAAGAAAGAAGUUCCUGAAGUACCUCCAAGGCCGCUGAUUCUCUCCUCCUCAGCUGUUUAAGAUGAAACUCUCCAAGAACUUCUCCUCACAUCUGAUGAAGUUUCUUCAUUAUUAGAAGAAUUCCUUCUUCAAGAUCCACUGUUCAAGAAAAAAUUCUCUGAUGUCUACUGUUCAAGUCUGACAAAGUUCCCUAUUGUUAGGAAAGUUCCUUCUACAGGAUCCAGUUAUAUUAUCGGACUUGGUUUUCUCUGAUAUCAUUCUACUAUCUUCGCAGAAAAGAAGAGGAAGAUGAGAUGCUAACUGUCACCUUUAUCAUGUGUCCUGCAUUCUGAUUGGCUAAUGAGAAUGGUAGAAUGUUUGGCUACACUAUACGUUUAAAGUUUUUUCUCAUAUAUAUCAUCUUAUAUAUGUAUUUUUGGUUUUGCUGCUGAGUAGUAAA